CAGAGGUCCCAAGCGUUGUUCGGAUUCACUGGGCGUAAAGGGUGCGUAGGUGGUGAGGUAAGUUUGAUGUGAAAUCUCCGGGCUCAACCCGGAAAUGGCAUUGAAUACUAUCUCGCUAGAGGAGUGGAGGGGGGACUGGAAUACUUGGUGUAGCAGUGAAAUGCGUAGAUAUCAAGUGGAACACCAGUGGCGAAGGCGAGUCCCUGGACACUUCCUGACACUGAGGCACGAAAGCUAGGGGAGCAAACAGGAUUAGAUACCCUGGUAGUCCUAGCCCUAAACCGUGCACGUUUGCUGUAAAAGGAAUCGACCCCUUUUGUGGCGAAGCUAACGCGUUAAACGUGCCGCCUGGGGAGUACGGUCGCAAGAUUA
rnacentral:rRNA from 1 species